ensembl:processed_transcript
GGUCUUUCGGAGCUGUGCGGCAGGCUGAGCAGGAAUGGCAAUGUGGACCUCUGUGAUGGGACAACUGGUGGGAUCUCACAUCCAGUUCUGUGUCAAAGGAGGAUGAAGACUAAGGACUCAUGAGGAAGCUGGAUUACUGGACGAGAGCAAUGUUCUAGAAGGGAAGACCAGAAAAUGAGAUGGUGGAGUUUAAUAAGGCUGGACAGACAGUUUUGAAAACACAAAUGGUUUGAAUAAAGAAAGGUAUUACACAUGGAUCCCCUCAGUUGAAGGCACUGUGCACACAUAACGGUAAGUGUCUUUGAAAUGUGCUUGCAUUACUUUCAACCCUUUCCAAAUAAGCCGAUACUGUGAUGAUAACAUAGUUCAGCAGACUUAACUCUGAUGAACAAUCAUGUCUUUCGCUCCUAUCUGAUGUAUCUGGCUAUAAUGUUUUGUCCCUUUUAAAGAGUUCCUUGAAUAGUAUUAGGAAAUAGAAGAUAAAGUCCUAGUGAUGAGGCCAAAAGCCUGAUGUUAAGGUCGCAUGUGCUGUGCCCCACUGACUUAACCCAGUAGGACAGUUUUAUUGUGAAAAAAAGUUCCCUAGCAACCAUAGUCUCAGGCUUCUUGGCAAGAGAACUGAGGUGAGCCCAUGGAGACUGAACUGAGGACCCAAGGAAUAGUGUAAAACAAAGUGAAGAUAAAUAACUACACUAAUGAAUUUUUUAUUUUCAAACAGAUGGGUCUUUCUGAAUUUCUGGUCCUUCUGAAUUUCAAGGGCUCCUGUGACAAGUAGACAUGGCAGUGACUUCACCAUUUUGUUUCUGAGGUGCCUGGAUGGAGACUCAAAUAGAAGAUGGUGUCAGAUACAUUGUGUUGUCAAGAUUUUACCAUUAAAGUGUGUUAUAAA